AGUCACUGACAUUAGAUACCCCGGUAGUCCCAGCCGUAAACGAUGUGCGUUAGGUGUAUCGACGACCACGAGUUGUCGAGGUGCCGAAGGGAAACCGUGAAACGUACCGCCUGGGAAGUACGGUCGCAAGGCUGAAACUUAAAGGAAUUGGCGGGGGAGCACCGCAACGGGAGGAGCGUGCGGUUUAAUUGGAUUCAACACCGUAAACUCACCAGGGAAGACUGUUACAUGAAAGCCGAGAUGAAGACUCUGCUAGAUUUUCAG
rnacentral:rRNA from 1 species